CAGCCGCCACGGUAAUACGGAGGGUGCAAGCGUUAAUCGGAAUUACUGGGCGUAAAGCGCACGCAGGCGGUCUGACAAGUCAGAUGUGAAAUCCCCGGGCUUAACCUGGGAACUGCAUUUGAAACUGUCAGGCUGGAGUCUUGUAGAGGGGGGUGGAAUUCCAGGUGUAGCGGUGAAAUGCGUAGAGAUCUGGAGGAAUACCGGUGGCGAAGGCGGCCCCCUGGACAAAGACUGACGCUCAGGUGCGAAAGCGUGGGGAGCAAACAGGAUUAGAUACCCCGGUAGUCCCUGUCUCUUAUAA
rnacentral:rRNA from 1 species